UGUCUCAAGAGAUCUACAGAGUUGGUGU
rnacentral:sRNA from 1 species